UGGCUAAAUUGAUAAAGCUUGGCACUUGCAACACCAAGGUUGUGGGUUUGAUUCCCAC
rnacentral:tRNA from 1 species